GAUGAACGCUAGCGGCAGGCCUAAUACAUGCAAGUCGAACGGUGUCUUCGGACAUAGUGGCGCACGGGUGCGUAACACGUAUGCAACCUACCUUACAUUGGGGGAUAGCCUUUCGAAAGGGAGAUUAAUACCGCAUAAGACAGUAGCUGGGCAUCCAGCAGCUGUUAAAGAUUUAUCGAUGUAAGCUGGGCAUGCGUCCAAUUAGCUAGUUGGUGAGGUAACGGCUCACCAAGGCAAUGAUUGGUAGGGGAACUGAGAGGUCAAUCCCCCACACUGGGACUGGGAAACGGGCCAGACUCCUACGGGAGGCAGCAGUAGGGAAUAGUGGGCAAUGGACGCAAGUCUGACCCAGCCAUGCCGCGUGCAGGAUGAAGGCGUUAUGCGUUGUAAACUGCUUUUAUACAGGAAGAAACGACUCUUGCGAGAGGCAUUGACGGUACUGUAUGAAUAAGCACCGGCUAACUCCGUGCCAGCCACCGCCGUAAAAC
rnacentral:rRNA from 1 species